CAAACAUCAGUGUGUCCUGCAAAAGAAAUGCCCCAAGGAGACUCCAAUGCUCCCCCAUGGUAAGCCAAGUUAUAUGAAAUGUCAAAUGUAUGAUUCCACAUGCUGUACAGCAGUGUGCUCAACUGUGUGCCCAAAGAUGAAUGUGUGCAUUUAUUUCUGUUCCAUCCCUAGUGCUGCUACAUUCAAAACAUGGCCAUCGAAUCUGGCAAACAAUAUCUGCUCUGGACCAGAUAAUUUCUUUACAAAGAAGAUGACUGAAAAAGGUAGCAUGGACCUCAGGUAAAUGCUUUUUAAGAAACUCAAAUAUUUACAGUUUAACAUUUCUUGGGGAAUCAAGGAAACAAAAACCACUGACUUUAAAACAGUUUUACUUUAAAAUUUCAGCCUCCUGGGUGAAGAUGACUGCACAGAAUCAGAAGAUUUUCUUGGUAUAUUUGAUGGACUCUUUUAAGACGAACACUUAAAUGGUUGUUUCAUGCCAUUUUGAUUACUUUUACUGUGAACCCUCCUGAGUUGUUUAGGUUUCUUCAAGAAAAAAGUAACAGAGAGAAAUAGAUAAUACAACAUAGAUAUCACCACAGAGAUUAAGCAUUAGUUGUCUGAUAAUGACUGAAUAACGUAGUCCAUUAACUAUGUAAGGAUGAAAUGAUGAUGAUUGUUUCUCUUUUUGCAUGUGGAUUUCAGCCUAUGAUAAAAAAAAAAUGAGUUGUUGCUUUUGAAAAGUACCGAAUGUGAAUCAAAUAUAAGUGUUUGAUACGAUGUAAAUUUGACUCCACGGUAUGUUCUAUACGUUUGGAGGGUGAAACUACCAUAAGCCUGCAUAGAUAUUUAUAAUUGCACUGAAAACAUACAUCUUAACUGUGUGAUAUAGUGUGAAUGAGCAUGGGCUAUUUCUUAUAUUAUAUUCUUGCAACAUCGCAAAAUCCUGGGAGGUCUGCCAAGGCUCUUCACCUAUUUGUAGACUAUUAUGGUGUCAUGAGCAAUGGAGAGUGAACAGAUUAUUCCUUUUUAACACCUAACUGUGAUCAUCCCAGUAGCAGACCUCAUAGGCUG
rnacentral:lncRNA from 1 species